GGAGAGGAAGUUGAUACACCUGAAUGUGAGCGUCCUAAAAAGCAAAGUAGGAAGUCAUUAGAGAAAAAAGGCGAUGAUACAGAGACUAAAGCCGCUUUGGAGGAAAAGCAGGGAGAUGAUGUUCAAAUGCAUGAUACAGAAGCUGCUGUUGCUGAGGUGGCGACAGAGGUGAAAGCCGCUGAAGAAACUCCCGUUGAAGAAACUCCUGAGCUGAACAAAAUUGAUGAUUUAC
rnacentral:misc_RNA from 1 species